AAGCUUAUAGGUUAAAUUUAAACUCUCAUCCUUCAAAGUUGAAUAUGUUAUAAUACAAAGCUUA
rnacentral:tRNA from 1 species